UUAAUUGUAAUUUUUAAAAUAAUUAAUGUUAAUAAUUAUAAAAUACUAAGUAUUCAAUUAAU
rnacentral:tRNA from 1 species